rnacentral:lncRNA from 1 species
UAAACCAAAAUGAAGAUAUCUGGGAUUUUGGUCCUCUCUUGCCUCCUUAGUCUUACCUUAUUCCAAAUCACAAAAUCUGAACCAGUUGUUGAUACUAACAAUGAACAAGUCAUGCCAGGAUCCACCUACUACAUAUUGCCCGCCACCACGGGCAACGGUGGUGGCCUAACGCUAGCAAAAGGCGCAAACGGGAGCUGCCCACUCAACGUUUACCAAGCGCAAAAUUCGCAAAGCGUAGGCCUUCCGUUGAGAUUCUUGAUGGUGAAUUCGAGCGCGGGCUUAGUAAUCGACGAAAAUGAGGAGGUAAAUAUUAAAUUCGCAGCACCAAGGUACGACUCGAUAUGUAAGAAAUCAACUGUUUGGAGAAUAGAAGGAGGGUUAGUGACGACUGGUGGAAUUAAGGGUGGAUCAGUAAGUGGCACGUCCACAUGUUUAUUUACGAUUCAGAAAUAUGAAGAUGCAUAUGCUUUACAAUAUUGUCCAAGAGCAAAAGGAUGUACUUUUAUUUGUCCAAAAUUGUCGUGUGGAUAUAUUGGUGUUUUAUCAGUUGCUAAUGGAUCGAAGCGUUUGGCUGUGAACAGGACGGCUUACAAGAUUGUGUUCAAGAAGGCCUAAGACAUUGAUUUUACUCUUAUUAUAUGGUAAUAAAACAUAGUGAAAAUUAACAAUGAUGUUAUAAUUUGUGGGUGCAGACGUGCGUGUUAUGCAGGGAGUUGUUUCAUAUUUGAUUUAGGAAUUGAUUUAUCAUUUGAAUCUAGAUGCAUAAUGCUUGAUAUUUGUUUUUCGUGUAAUUCACCUUUGUAUUAUUUUUAUUUAUUUAUUAUCUUAUUUCCCUUUUUCUCUUGAAUUGAAUUGGUUGUGAAAAUGUUGUAGUACAAUAAAUUACUCCCUUGAUUUCAUUUUACUUUGACUUUGGCUAAUUUGCCACACCAUUUUAAAAAAAUUAAUUAUGAGUGUGUUUUAUUAAAUUAACCUAAUCAAUGAUGUUUUGAAAUUCUAAAUUUAAUUAUUACUUCUAUUACUAUAUGUUGUUAUUUACUUAUUUAAUUCAAAUGAUAGGAAGAAAUAAAAUAUCGAAAGACUCCUGAUUUCAUAAAUUUGACAAAUAAAUUAAAAUAAAUAUUUUUAAUACAGGAGGUAAGUAAAAUAAAACGGAAGGAGUAUUAUUAUACUUUCCUGCAGGUUAUCAUGAAUAUCGAACUUUGUAUGAAUUAAUAUUAUUUACCUAUUAAUUUUUAGUAGCAUCUCUAAGACAUCUGAAUUUCUAUCAUUGUUAUUUUGAUCCGAGGACUUUCCUUAAAAUUGUUUCAAAUUUUAUUCCGAAUUGUUAUUCUUAUCCCACAUACGAAAUAAUUCCUCAUAGUCGAUUCACUUAAUUGAUCACUUAGUCACACCCUUGAAUCACCUACACUUUAACUAUAUAUAUUCUGUUAAAACAAAACAAAAUAUAGCAAACAUAAAAAUCCACCAUAGAAUAUGUCCGUAUCAAAUAUAUCCAUAUUGAUACUCGAACCAUCUAAACUAUUACGAUUGUAGUUGUCUCAAGCAGCAAAAGAUUUUUUAUUUUUUUGUCAUUUUCUUCAGAUAACUUGCAGAUAACAGUGAGUUGAUAUAUUUUGUUCAUAUGUUAACAAUUAAGGCUUAAGCCUUUAGUAGUGUAAACUUAGUUUUGAUUUGAGUUUUUUCUAAUUUGCUAAACAUACAUAAGUCCAACCCUGUUGUCAAAAUAUUGUGAAGCUAAAAUUUUGAUAAUGUUACAUAAAUAUCUAUAAAUGUACAAAGUAAUAAAAAAAUAAUAUACAUAAAAUUGGGUCGGUUUGAUCAUUUUUAGUUGAAACCAAACCUAACCACUAAUUAGUUCUUUUUUUGUGGUUUUGGGGCGAUUUGCCAAUUUUCUUUGUACACCCUAAUUAGGGGUUUACAUUUGACAUUUGAUAUUUUUAAAAUUCGAUCCAAUAUAAUAAAUCAUCGUUUGAUUCAGCAAAAAAUUAUUUUUUUGGUGAUUUAUGCCCACCUUACAAUUAGAUCAUUAUUCUUCGUUGCUUACUUUCAGUUUCAUUACUUCUAAUCAAAUACAUAAUGCCAAAUUAUUCGUCCAUCUAGCUCCAAAAAUUUAAAACCCGUUAGGACUUGGUCAAACUAUUUAAAUUCAGACAAGUCAAAUAGGGCGCAUAUAUAAGUUAAUGACAAUUAAACUCUGAUUUAGCAUAGAUGUUGAAGUACUAUGUCUUGUUUUAAUGAUUUGACAAAUCUAUUGAAGAACUAGAUAUGCUACCCAAAUAAUUUGAUCCAUUUCUUAUAAUCAACUGUAUGAGAACCUGGUUCUUAGAGGGAACUUGCUUCAUGUGUUUGCCAUCGUCAAAAAGGAAAAAAUUGAUGAUGCAUAGUUACUAUGACACUAUGCUUUGUUUUGAUGAUCUGACAAGCCUAUCGAGGGACCGUUAAGUAACCAGACAUGCACCAGACCAAUCUCAGGGGAAACAAGAGAACAAGCCACGAGGGAAUACUACUUAUUCAAGAGGAACUACCACUCUAAGGGAUCUUAUCUCAUAGCAACCAAACAAGGGACCACGUAUUCGCACCAGACUGAUUUGUACAAGUCAACUCUCACACCAGUCCAUAACAGUCUAUUGUUGUGUGUUAUUAGGUCUAGGUUGUUAAGUCUUUGUGUUUUACUCUCCAGUGUAAACUGACUCCUCACUAUUGAGAAAUUAAACUUGUGUAGGUAUUUCUUUUUCACUCAUAUCCUGUAGAUUUAAGUUGAGGGCUAGAGUUAGCCAUUUGAGUUAUUGGCUAAAGUUAGUCGUGGUAAAUGUAUGGGCUAGAUUCUCACAGUUGUAUCGACUGUAGUUAGUUGAUAGAGUGAGCUAGAGUUAACGAGAUAUGAUGGUCCACUAAAGUUAGUUGACGUUGUGGGCUACAAUAGAGUUAAUAUAGUGUGACUCGUGAUAAAGCUUUUACAAGGGGUUAGGGAUAGGAGGAUAAUCCUAGGAUUAUUAAUUGGAGUUUGUAAUAUGAAAUCGUUUUUGUUUUAGUGAAGUUGUUUGUGAAAAUACUACGAGGUAGGUCGUGGUUUUACUUCCUUGAAUAAGGAGGUUUCAACAUAAAAAUUGUCUGUACUUUGUUGUUGUUGUUUGCACUUUAUUGUUCGUGGUCGUUCUCAAUCAACGUAUCGAGUCCCUUGGUUGAUGUUGGCAGGGGCGGACCUACAUAGAUUUUUAGGGUGCUCCGGCAUCCACUAAACUCGAUGCGAAAUAGGUAUAAUUACAUAGAAUAUAUACGAAAAUAAGUAUAAAACAUAUAAAAGCACCCACUAAAAUAAAAAGUUGAUUGGAUGGGCAUCCCGAGUUCGAACCUUGUUGAGGUAAUUAUUUAUUUUUUUAAUUUUUUAAGCACCUACAAUCCUUAAAUUUUGGAUCCGCCACUGGAUGGUGGAUACAUACAAGCCUACGAACUCUUUGAUAAGUAUUAUUAACAAUUAGUUAACCUCAUAAAAAUAGUCGUAAUUUAUUUUAUGCAUGAAAGUUAAGUCCUAAUAUAGACAUAAUUUACCAAGAGUUGUAAAUGAUUGGAAGUAGAAAACAUUGAAUCCCAGCUGAAGCAUAACUAAGAACUCUCAAACUCACAAGAUGAAUUUGGUUUUCUUUUCUAGUUUGAUCUUCACUUAGUUUCAUUCAAGUUUAUCUUGAUUGUUAGAGUUUUUGAUCCGAAUUUUGUUGAUCCAUCUCUGAAAAGAUUGCGGUGCGAACCAUGCUUGAGAUUUUUCGGGGGGGUUUGUGGUGGUAGCGUAGAGUUUUCUUGUACGCACGUAUUAUAUAAGUGCGACUUAGAGGGUUGGUUUUAAUAUGACGGUUCUCGUGUGUCAUUGAGAACAUUGGCACCUCCUUGAAUUCCUCUCUUAUAUAGUGAAUUUCUUCUCUGUCUGUGGUUUUUCCCGUUAAGGGUUUCCACAUUAAUCUAUGUGUGUUCAUCUUGUUUUUCUCUUACUUAUCAUAUUGCUUAUUCCUAUUUGAUUUCAUAACACUUGUUAAAGUAUGUACCUUACUGAUCAGUGACUUUAACGUAAGAGUUGCCUGUGGAUGGAAUGGGUUGCCUGAUAUGUUUUAAAAAUGCAGUAAAAUGAAAAGUAAAGAAUACAAUAAUUUUUUUACGUGAAAAACACCCGGCUCAAAAAUGUGUAAAAAAAUCACAACCUGCACCUCUACAGGAGUUAACCCCAACUUCACUAAAUAACUCUGAGCCUCAACAACGACUGAUUACAAAACUCUUGUAACCAACAACUAGGAAUUAUAAACUCUAAUUCCUAUACCUCAAUAACGAGUAAUUAUAAACUCUAAUUUCUAUAACUCAACAAUCACCCUUGACUAUUGAACCCACUUCGAGUUAUCCCAAACUUGAAGUUAACUCAGCUCAGUAUUGUUCCUAAAUAGUCAAUCUAGAAAAGCAAUAAAUUACAACUCGAUAAGAACAAUAUAUUCUUAAACUGACUCAUGAAUUGUAAAGCUUAAUCCUGUGAAACAGGUUCGUCAAUUUGUUCCUUUGUACUGGCAACACUUGAAUCUUCAGUCAGAAUUCUCUCCAUUAUAAACUUUCUCAAUUUGAUAGUGUUUAGCCUUUUCUCUCUCUGUAAGUGCGCAAGUUACUCUAAAUGAUACAUUUUCUAUUUAUGCAUAGCUUUCCAAAGAGUCAUUCUUUAUUUCAAACUUCUCAUUUUAUCAGAACUCUCAUUGCGUAGAGUUCUACUUCAAGUGAUACUCCUUCUUCAAUUCCAACUCUCGUCUCCUUAGUGUUAUAGUCAAACUCUAAUUAUUUAAAUCAACAUAUGUUUAUUUCCUUGAGUUUAUCUGAAUUAGUCACUCAUCUGGUCUUCCUUGAUUUUUGCACACUUGUCUUUAAUCAUCGAUUAUUUUACCACAAGUUUAAGUUACAUGAGACAGUGUGUCUGUGAACCAGCUUGACUGACAUGUUUCAUAUCAAUUUGUCAGUUUUUCAAUCAUCAAAACUAUAUCAUAUCCUAAUAAAUUUCCCAUGAUGUCAAACCUCUUGUCAUUGUGCAUUCAACCAUCUUUACCUGUAGGCACUACAGUAUAAAACACUAGGAUAAAAUAGGUUAGUCAAUGGGUUAUAAACAUCGCACAACCCUCUUAUCAUAUUUCUCCUUUUGACAUUAUCAAAAAACUAAUUCAAUGCAAUAAUAUACUAGCCAAAGUGAUUUGUUAUGCUAUUCAUUGCCACUGGGCUAUCACCAAAACAAUCAGACAAAGACUUUACCCAAUAUAGUAAUGUAUUAAAAAGAGCAAAAACAUGAGUCAAUUAAGCAAAGAUAACCAUUCCAUUUAAGUGGAAAAGCAUGUUCCACAUUAAACCUAAGCUAGUAGUGAACAAAUUAAAGUAACUGAGCAUUAAUAAAAAAAAGAAUAUGGUAUAAAAGUGGGAUAUGGUUAAGGAUACAAAUAGUGAGGAGCUGAUGAGAAAGGUAAAACAGGUGAUAUCAAUUGUGUCAAUUGACGAAUGACUUCAACAUUUUCAGCCCUCUCUAAAUCAAGGUCAAGUUUCAAAGUUAUGAUCCUAGCCCGAAGGAUCUCUUAUUCCACUUCAAAGUCUUGUGCAACUUCUAGUUCAGUAUUUUUCUCAGCUAAAAUACUUCUUUAAUUUUUUUAUUUUUUUUAAAUGAGUGUUAGCCAUCCAUAUUGAAACAGUUAGAGCAACAUAAAACAUCUGUUCAAGAACAUCUUUUGUUAUUUAAAAGGUCAAAUCCGAACUAGGACUGAGAAGUGCUCAAAAGUCUGAGCCAAUUAGAAUCCAAAAGGGAGAGCAUGUCCUCUUUUUAUACUUCAGAAACAUAUGUUGCAUGUGAUUGAUGAUCGAGUUUGGCAAAUCCAUGGUACAAAAACUGAUAUUUAGGUUGACAAAGAAGAAGAAAUUUCUGGCGUAGGAUCAAAGAAAGUAUGGUCAACUAAUUCGUUUGCUUUAUAAGACAAGGAGAGGAUGAAGUGUGAGGAAUUGAACAGAUGUGCUCAACUGUUUCAACUUAUAUAGCCUAUGCUUAUGUCAGUGUAGAACAUACCUACUAAGAAGAACUUUUUGAUCACAAUUGCUUGUUUGUACCUAUUUUUCUGCACAAUCUAAUACAAAAUUAGGUUAGAAGAGUAAAAUAUCUGAAAUUGGAACACACAACUAAAUGUGCAAGACUGAAUCGAAUAACAUUUUAGCUAAUACGAUUAAGAAGAAAAAUAGUUAUUAUAGUCAAUCAUUGAGGUGAGUUUAUGCAAUUUUAAUCAUCCCCAAGUCUAACCUAUUCUUUUCAAAAUGUUCUCUACUUAGUGCCUUUGGUGCUUAUCCAGUCAAUUAAGUAACCCAAAUAGUCAAUAUUUUUAUAGCCCUCAAGAGUGAAAUUGGUUUCCGUUGGAUACCAUAGUCUCAAGCCAUUGAUUCCCAUGAGAUAUCUCAAGAUUCUUUUGACAACUCCAAUUCUUAUGAACUACCAAUAAAAUUAUCAACAGCUUGUAUUGGUGUUAUUAAUGCAUUAAUUUCUUGAUUUGUUGUUUUCCCUGUCAAUAUGCCCUCGGUCUAUACAACAGUUAGACCAGGUGGUACAACAAGUUUCUGUGCAUGCUCAUUAGUUUCACUAUUAUCCUUUUUUUAGGGGACCUCCCUUGCUUCUCCCUUACACGAGCACACCAAAUCUGACCAUCUUUAAAAAAGAUUUUGUUUUAGUUCUCCCAAUCUUUUCAACUCUAGUAAUGUUGCUUUUUUUACUAUCUCCAAAAGAUCCAUUCCCCCUUUAAAUGUGGUGAGUAAAAAAAAAAUUAUUUGCUUCCAGUCUUAUGCCUUGAGCAAGCUCUAUCCAUGUACUAAUUUUUCUUUCCUCCUUUCACUCUCGCCUGCAAAAUAAACUAAGAGUUAAAUUUAAGAAUCCAGACAAGCAUGGAUCCUUUCUUAUCAGUAAAAGGGUGAAUCAAAUCUCUCCUAGCGCAUCGAGGUAACAGGUGAUGUGACCUGUUUUUUUGACCAGUUUAUCUUUUCUUCCUAUUUGUCUGUACUAUCAAGAAGUCGGAUUUCUUUACCAAAUUAGUGAUCCUAUCUCAUCUUUUAGCAGCAACUGGACAUUCAGUAGUUGGAUGUCCGUGAUUACCACAUAUAUAACAUAAAUCCUUAGUAAUAAUAGAGCUCUUGAAAAAACCCCAAUCCAGCCCUUUCACUUUGAGUUUUUUCACUGAAUUGAUGAACAAUUCUUAAGGAAUUUAUCCAUUUUUUUGUCUUUUCAAGAUCAAAUUUUAGUUUAGAGACUUCUUGGAUUAAUUUGUUCACCUUUUCCUUUUCAUUACAACAUUCUUGUUUGGACUUGGUCAAUUGAGGGUCAGCAUUUUCUUGUUCAUCACUUAUUUUUUUCAUUUUCAGAAAGAGUCAGUUUUAAAAUUUUAGAUUUUAGAAUCAGAUUUGAAGAAUCAAGUUGACCAACUUGUCCCUUAAGAGUGCAGUUUUCCUUUUCAACGAUAUUCUUACAAGCGUUUUGAAAAUCAUCAAUUAGAGCACUCAUUAAGGAAAUAAGUUUCUUCUUAGAAAAUAAAUGUAACUUCUCUUUGAGUUCAAGAAUACUUACCUCAGAGAUUCCAUCAUCUUUUUCCAUGUCUGAAUCUCCAAUGGCCAUGAGAGCAGUUUCAUCAUAUUUUUCAUCAUCUGAUUCAUCACUUUUAGAUGCCCUAUUUAGAUCUUCCAUGUUCAUUUCAUAGGUCUUUAAAUUUCUAACUAAAUCAUCAAGGGAUAUUCUAGUGAGAUCCUUAGCUUUUCUUAUGACUGUAACUUUGACAUUCCACUUAAACUUUGGUAGGACUCUCAAGACCUUCUCUACCAGUUCCUCAGUAGAUAAAAUCUUUCCUAGAGAUGAUAGCUCAUUACCAAUAAAGUUAACCUAGUUAUCAUUUCUUGUAGUGACUCAUUUUUCUCCAUUUUGAAAGCCUCAUAUUCAGUGAAAAGUACUGCAAUUGUGAAUUUUCUCAUUUGGCUAGUGCCUUCAUGUGCAUUCACCAAUACAUCCCAAAUUUGUUUAGCAGUAUUGCAAUUAGACACUCUAUUAUACUCGGUUGGACUAAGACCACAAACAAGAAUGUUUUUGGCUUUUGCAUUCUUUUUUAGUGCAACAAGAUCUUCUGGGGUGAAUUCACACCUAAUCUUUUUUACUUGUUCUCCAUCCACUGUCUUCAUGAAAAUUGUUGGUCCAUCAAUAAUUUUGUCCCAUAAUUCAUAAUCUACACAAUGAAGAAACGUUUUCAUCCUAACUUUCCACCAAAUGAAGUGAGAACCAUCAAAGAGUGGAGGUUUAAUAGUGGAUUGACCUUCACUGUGAUCAGUAUGUGGUGCGGAAUUCAUUAUAUUGAUCUUUGUCUUAGGUGCUAACCCCUUUUAAGACAACCUCGCUGUGAUGCCACUUGUUAGAGUACAUACCCUACUGAUCAUUGACUUUAACGUAAGAGUUGCCUAUGGAUGGAAUGGGUUGCCUGGCGUGUUUCAAGGAAGUAGUAAAAUGGGAAGUAAAGAACACAAUAUUUUUUUAUGUGAAAAACACCCCGCUCAAAAAAGUGUAAAAAACCACGACCUGCACCUCUACUGGAUUUAACCCCAACUUCACUAAAUAACUCUGAGCCUCAACAAUGACUGAUUACAAAACUCUUGUAACCAACAACUAAGAAUUAUAAACUCUAAUUUCUUUACUUCAAUAACUAGGAAUUAUAAACUCUUAUUCCUAUAACUCAACAAUCACCCUUGACUGUUGAACCCACUUCGAGUUAUCCCAUACUUGAAGUUAACUCAGCUCAAUAUUGUUCCUAAACAAUCAAUCUAGAAAAGAAGUAAAUUACAACUCGAUAAGAACAAUACAUUUAAACUGACUCAUGAACUAUAAAGCUUAAUCCUGUGAAACAGGUUCGUCAAUUUGUUCCUUUGUACUGGCAGCACUUGAAUCUUCAGUCAGAAUUCUCUCAAUUAUGAACUUUCUCAAUUUGAUCGUGUUUAGCCUUUUCUCUCUUUGUAAGUGCGUAAGUUACUCUGAAUGAUACAUCUUCUAUUUAAGCAUAGCUCUCCAAAGAGUCAUUCUUUAUUUCAAACUCAUCCUUUUAUCAGAACUCUCAUUGCGUAGAGUUCUACUUCAAGUGAGACUACUUCUUCAAGUGAGACUACUUCUUCAAUUCCAACUCUUGUCUCCUUAGUGUUGUAGUCAAACUCCAACUCUUUAAAUCAACAUAUGUUUAUUCCCUGAGUUUAUCUGAAUUAAUCACUCAUAUGGUCCUUCCUUGAUUUUUGCACGCUUGUCUUGCCACAAGUUUCAACUACAUGAGAUAGUUUGUCUGUGAAUCAGCUUGACCGACAUGUUUCAUAUCACUUUGUCAGUUUGUCAAUCAUCAAAACUACAUCGUACCCCAACAACACUAAUCAUGGAUAAAUUAUUCAGGUUCAGAUCCUUACACGGAAAGGUGACCCUGGCAACGAAGAUCAGUUCAUUUUCUCUAAAACAGGAAACUCAAAAUAAAUCCUUUGGUAGUUAAUCAGGGCGUAGCUUACUAGUUGUAAAGAACGCCGCGCGUUAUUUAUAGUAGUUUACAGAAUAGAUAGUAGAUGAUUUUAUCAAUAAUGAACAGGGUAUUUAUACAAGAGGGCGGAUCUAUAAGGACGUGAAAUAAAUCAAUACAAUCAAUUAAAAUAAAUGAAAAUCGUUAUGGUUAUGAAUAAGUUAAAAUAUAGGUAAACUAAAUAUGUAAAUAAGGAGCGAAGAUAAUUCAUAAUUCAUCUACGAUGUAUCUCUAAUAUGUUCCCACAAGAUGGUAGAUCGAUUAGAGAAUCAACUUGUAACGUAGCAGCUCAAAAGAGCUGCUUGGAAGAGAUUUUGUGAGCAUAUCAACAUGUUGGUCCUUCGAUGAAACAUGCAAAACCCGACGAAGACCUUGUUGGACUAAUUUACGGACAAAAUGACUAUCAAAAAGUUUAAUGUGCUUCAUGCGAGAGUGAGACGCAGUGUUAGCACAAAUAUAUGUAGCACCAAAAUUAUCACAGUAAAUGACCGGUGGUUGAGCCUAAGUAACCAAUAACUUCUUGAGAAGAUUACGCACUCAAUAAAGUUCAGCAGCAAGAGGCAAUGACCCUGUAUUCUGCCUCUGUCGAAGGACGAACUUAUUUAACAUUCUUGAUCUGUACAUCAUUUUCUAUGAAUUAUAAAACCAUGCACAUGUAGUUUUUAUUACGACAUGCCAAACUUUAGAAAUUCAAACUACGGCAAAAUUCAAUUCUUUUGACUUUUUUUUCCUACCUACGUAACAUAGUUUAAUACUCCUCCAUUCUAAAUUGGUUAUUUCCUUUUUUCUUCACACGUCCCUCGUAAAAUCACAAAUAAAAUGAGUAAUUUUAUUAAUUUAUCAUUUAUCUUCUCCUUUGAAAAAGAUUUCUUUUUUUGGAAUUUGUAAACCUGCAUGCUCUUUCAAAAACUACUAAUUGUAGAGGUAAAUAAUUUUUUCUUUUAUUAAUUUGAUCUUGAUUUGAUAAGUGGAUAGAUAAUUCGGGACAACUACAUAUAAUAAGGUAUACACAAUUAAUACGCCUUCAGUUUUUCAAACAUCAGAAAAUCACAAUUCAAAACUAUAACACCAAGCCAACGUAAUGGUAUACAAAUUUCAACAUCAACCUCUAUAUAAAUACAGUAAACAUUUACCCCCAAAAAACAUCAAUCAUACUACUGAUCAAAAUGAAGAUAUCUGGGAUUUUAUUACUUUCUUCCCUCCUUAGUUUUACCUUAUUCCAAAUCACAAAAUCCGAACCAGUUGUUGAUACUAACAAUGAACAAGUCAUGACAGGAUCCACCUACUACAUAUUGCCCGCCACCACAGGCAACGGUGGUGGCCUAACGCUAGCGCAAGGCGCUAACGGGAGCUGUCCGCUCAACGUUUACCAAGCGCAAAAUUCGCAAAGCGUAGGCCUUCCAUUGAGAUUGUUGAUGGUGAAUUCAAGCU